UACAGAGGGUGCGAGCGUUAAUCGGAAUUACUGGGCGUAAAGCGUGCGUAGACGGUUAUUUAAGUCGGGUGUGAAAGCCCCGGGCUCAACCUGGGAAUUGCAUUCGAGACUGAAUAGCUAGGGUACGGUAGAGGGAAGCGGAAUUUCCGGUGUAGCGGUGAAAUGCGUAGAUAUCGGAAGGAACAUCAGUGGCGAAAGCGGCUUCCUGGACCAGUACCGACGUUCAGGCACGAAAGCGUGGGGAGCAAACAGGAU
rnacentral:rRNA from 1 species